rnacentral:lncRNA from 1 species
UCACGCGGUCGAAUUUUGCAGCGUAUAAAUCGCGUUAUUUAAUGUUCGUUGUAAUUUAACAGAGCACUAAAUCAGUACUGAAUUUUCCAGCGAAUAAAACCUCGUUACAGCAGCCUCUACUUUUUCUGAUUUCGAUUAUUAUCGCGGUUUGCAUGUUAAAGGCUUGAACUCGACUGAAUUCAUAUUCGUUCAGUAUACGUUUGUCCAAAAGAACAUUCAUUUUGAUCGCCGAGAUAAACAACAUACGAUCGGUAUCACGUGAGCAACGAUGCGAAGUUGGUUGCGGAUGCAGUUUCAAAUGCAACGCUCAGAGAGUUCGGACGCUUCGCAACGGCAGGUCAACGAAAUUACCAUAAAAAUUAUGUCGUAAUUACGUUAUUUAUCGUGUCGUGUUGAGCACAUGCUGAUGAAAAUCACCUGCUCCGGGAAUUCUGCGCCCGUCGAGAGAUAAUUGGGAGUGAAAACAUUGUGAGUGAAAAUAUUGUGAGUGAAUAAUUCGACGUGCAAGUCGGUUGAACAAAAGAAAGUUACGAGGUAAACAAUUUUUUUUUUUAAUAUCCAACACAUCAUUCGAUUUUGUCUGUCGUGUCCCGGUAUAAACAACAAACAAUCGAGAUGCCACCAUCUUGCCAUCUUGACAAUGUACCGAAGAAUACGCGAUCGAAUCUUCGCAUGCAUCGACAUAAUUUAUUUAGUGAUUCGCAGUACCUGGAUGGAAUUCUACCUUUAGUGAUAACCAGUGAUAACCACAGGAAUAUCAAAUUUAGUGAGUGAUGCUCAUGGGAAUAUAAAAUUUGUUCAGUGAUACCUUCAGCAAUACAUAAUUUAACCAGUGAUUGUGAUGUGAAUUCAGUUCCGAUGUCGAGGCUGGCCUGAUUUACACGAUGCAGCAUGAAUACUAUACUGGACUCCAUACGAGAUGAUGAUAGUUAUUUGUGUGGAACCCUCAGAUGAGCCGGUGACGUAUACGCGAAAGUGGCAGGGCAUUGAUGGAUUAGUUACACCUGUACCGCAGUAUGACUCUACGCUGAUGCUACUUUGCAUAAUAC